CUCCUUGGGGCCGCCUUGCCCCGCCCCAGUCCGGCCGUGGUGUGGGGUUCGAACCACUGCUCCUCAGACCUGAGUGUACGGGGCAUGAGCGGGGCUUGGGGGGCCGGAGGGCCUCGGUGCCAGGCGGCGCUCGCGGUCCUGGCCUCUCUGUGCCGGGCCCGGCCGCCCCCUCUCGGGCUGGACGUGGAGACUUGUCGGAGCUUCGAGCUGCAGCCCCCGGAGCAGAGUCCGAGCGCGGCUGACUCAGGAACCUCUGUCAGCCUCCUCGCCGUGGUAGUUAUUGUGUGUGGCGUGGCCCUGGUGGCAGUUUUUCUCUUUCUCUUUUGGAAGCUGUGCUGGAUGCCCAGGAGGAACAAGGAGGCCUCCAGCCCUUCUUCUGCUAACCCUGCUUCAGAGACCCUCCAUAGUCCCAGCUCCAGAGACAACAUGGCAGAUAAGCUGAAGGACCCCAGUGCCCUGGGCUUCCUGGAGGCGGCUGUGAAGAUCAGCCACACUUCUCCAGACAUCCCAGCCGAGGUGCAGAUGUCGGUCAAAGAGCAUAUCAUGCGUCACACGAGGCUGCAGCGACAGACCACAGAACCAGCGUCGUCCACCAGGCACACGUCCUUCAAGCGCCACCUGCCACGGCAGAUGCACGUCUCCAGUGUAGACUACGGCAAUGAGCUGCCACCAGCGGCUGAGCAGCCCACCAGCAUUGGCCGCAUCAAGCCUGAGCUCUACAAGCAGAAGUCAGUGGACGGGGAUGAUGCCAAGACUGAGGCUGCCAAGAGCUGUGGGAAGAUCAACUUCAGCCUCCGCUAUGACUAUGAGAGUGAGACCCUGAUUGUGCGCAUCCUGAAGGCCUUUGACCUCCCUGCCAAGGACUUUUGUGGAAGUUCUGACCCUUAUGUCAAGAUCUACCUCCUGCCUGACCGCAAGUGCAAGUUGCAGACCAGGGUCCACCGCAAGACCCUGAACCCCACUUUUGAUGAGAACUUCCACUUCCCCGUGCCCUAUGAGGAGCUGGCUGACCGUAAGCUGCAUCUCAGUGUCUUUGAUUUUGAUCGCUUCUCCCGCCAUGACAUGAUCGGGGAGGUCAUCCUGGACAAUCUCUUUGAGGCCUCUGACCUGUCCCGGGAGACCUCCAUUUGGAAGGACAUCCAGUACGCCACCAGUGAAAGUGUGGACCUGGGAGAGAUCAUGUUCUCCCUCUGCUACCUGCCCACAGCAGGCAGGCUCACCCUCACAGUGAUCAAGUGUCGUAAUCUUAAGGCAAUGGACAUCACAGGCUACUCAGAUCCCUAUGUCAAGGUAUCCCUGCUGUGUGACGGGCGGAGACUGAAAAAGAAGAAAACAACUAUCAAGAAGAACACCCUCAACCCUGUCUACAAUGAGGCCAUCAUCUUUGACAUCCCCCCAGAAAACAUGGAUCAAGUGAGCCUGCUCAUCUCCGUUAUGGACUACGAUAGAGUUGGCCACAAUGAGAUCAUAGGCGUCUGUAGAGUGGGGAUCAACGCUGAAGGCCUUGGCAGAGACCACUGGAAUGAGAUGCUGGCAUAUCCACGGAAGCCCAUUGCACACUGGCACUCCUUGGUGGAGGUAAAGAAAUCCUUCAAAGAGGGAACUCCUCGGUUGUGAUUUCACUCACGUGGAUGCUGCAAGCGGAGAGACAGCCACUGGAGUUAGGAUGGCAGGGCCGAGCUGCCAGCUUCGACAGUGAGAGCUCAUGCCCAUCUCCAAAACCACCUCCGACACCAUGAGCCGCACAGCCGAGCCGCACAAACGGGACUCAGCAAUGUUCUUUCCGCACUUGUCAGUCGUCUAAACACAGUGUUUGUGCAGUUAAGGUGACGGCUGCGGCAGCAGCCACUGCCCGCCAGCCCAUGGUCUUCACUGCCCCUGCGCAGGGCGAGGCCGAGACACUUGUCGUUCGUGAUCGGACCUGUCUUAGUCUUUUCUGUCUCCCAAGGUGAUGUUUCUGUGGUUUUGUUUGUUUGUUUGUUUGUUUUUGCUUUGUUUGGGUCUGCUGUCAAGAAAGAAAGAAAAACACAAUGAUUAGAGAGACAAAACAGAGUGGAGAGCCCAGAAGUUGGUUCUGGGAAAUACAGUGUAAAAUAAGCAGUCUUUGGUGACAGGCAGAGUCAAUCUGAAAUUUUGUGCCUCCACCAAGCGCUCACCCCUGGAUAGGGCAGCAGUAGGAUGGAGCCAGGGCCAUAUUUUCAGUGCCCAUCAAGAAUGGGACCUACCAAUCGGGAGCUUUCCUGAGGUGAGUUACUCUUCUUGGAAGCUCUUCGCCGCUGUGACACAAGCCAAGACGUGGUCCUCUUGUCCCGUUGAAAUCAUGAGACCUCUGCCAUGUUUGUGACUCUGUAGGGAGAUCCCUGCUCCCCUCUUUGUUGGCUCUCCCCAACUGGAAGCAUUUUGAUUCCCUGUGGGAACUUUCUCACUUUCAUUAGGAGUGAUCCCACAGAAACUAACCACGCCAUAUGUUUUCCAACACGCCAGUUAAUGAUCAUAUUUGUUUGAAAACACGAUCUUAGUUCUCAAAAAAUAACCUUCAUUGUAAAGAAAGGGGGCACAUAUGUUCCAGAAAGAUCUCUGUGUUAUACAUAGCUUUAUAAUUCCACAAAGUACCAAGCAGCUGUUUAAAAUGCCUAAACAGAGCAAAGAAAAAUCUAGAUAACAUGUUCUUUUCUGAGUGGGGUGUUUUGAAAUCCAAACAUUUCUGAGUCUGCCUGUUGAUGAAGAGCCUCCUCUUAGUUGAAACCCAGUCAGCCAGAGACUAGUUCUGCUCCCACAGACUCUGGGUCAAUGACUCUCCUUAGACUUUAGUUCUAUAAACUAAUAAGUAUUGUGUUGUUUGUUUCAGCCUCAGUGAGAGGCUAUUAGCUUGUUUGUUUUUCUAUUAGGUAUCUACCGUAGGCCAAAUUCAGUUUAGAAAAGAAAAAUGAAUGACUGUACUUAUAAUAGCACAUUCCUACUGAGUGACUAGUGGCCUUUCCACCAUGUCCUGUGAAUAGGGUGAUCUGCUCAGUCUAAAGUCUGAACAGUUCUGGGAAGCACGUGAAAAUGAGUUUCCACUCCAACUUGUGGCUACAACGUACUGAUUUUCAGCACUGUAAGACUUGCAAGGAAGCAAGUCAACUUGGAAAAAUCACCUUCUUUCAAGGACAGAAGGUCAAGAACGCAAAAGCUAUCCUCAUACCUUGUGUCUUACUCUUUACAUAUGUCCCAUGCUAUAGCAGUAGCGAUUUAAUAAAGUAACCCCUAUUUUAAGUCAAGCCACCAUGCUUCUCUGCUGAUCUAACUUCAUGUCUGCUAGCCAGAAGAAUGGUCAGAUUGUACAUGAGUCAACAGGGUAUUGUGGAAACAGAAGCAGUCUACUUUUCUAGUAAAUGUAGAUGAAUUUAGACUCCACUGAAUAUGAGCGUUGGGCUAGGGGCUGGUGUGUAAAGAUUUCCUCUCCAAAUAUCUUACAAUUGAUAAGUCUUUCCAGUCAGGCAGUCCCCUAUUCGGAAGUACUCUUGAGAGGGAGAAAACCCACAAGGUCAUAACAAGAGUCCUAGCGAGCAACCAACUUCAUUGUGUUUCUUGACGAUGAUGGACCGCACUAAGGUGACUAUUGCAGCCACACAGAAGUGCAGCGAGAAAGGGGACAGUUGAGUUUUCCGGGUCAUAGGGAGCAUCCCAUUCUCCCAGAAGUGGGUUCCAAAAGCAUGCCCAGCUGCCACCCCAAACCCUCAGGCAGGGUUUAGACAGGAGGGCGUGGUCUGCAUGAAUUAUGGACUGGCGCUGCCCGUCUGAGAGACUCUUCUAUGUCACAGCUACUCUUUCCCCUAAGUGGACAUCCCAACAGUUUCAGAAGACUGUGCCCUGGUUAUGGCCAGCCCUCUUACCACCCCAGUCAACCGCUUUAGUUCCAUCAGCCUCGGGAUACAUUAGGCAUGGAAGCCCACUCCAGCAAGGCUUUUAGCUCCUGGAUUCCCUCCCCACAAGUCCCCACCAAGGGUAACUGGAUCAGUCCUCCUCAUCCUGCAGCAUGAGUGAUACAAACAGGCUUCUCCUUUCAUUAGCCCAGGAGUCCUCCCUCAUGGAUGAGAACUCACGGAAGCUAUCAUAGAAUAAACUGAGAUUUAACGUGCACUGGCUCAUUGAGUCUCCCUAGUGCAAGAAACCCGUUGGAGAGGGGGUGGGCUUUGCUGAAGUUGUGAUAACCGGGGCCAUUUGCACAUGUUUGCAAAAGACACCAGAUUCUCCUCUCCUUUAUUUCGCAGUGUUUCUUGGCUGAGAGAUGCUCCCCUCCCCCUUUGCACUUACCCAGGAUGUUAAUUAAUUGUAUCAUCAUUUAAAAAAAUUAUGUUGUUAAUUACUGCUUUGUGUCUUCCCACCCCUGUCACAGCCUGGAGUUUUUAUUCAAUUAAAUCUCUGUCUCUUGCCCA